AUUGAACGCUGGCGGCAGGCUUAACACAUGCAAGUCGAGCGGAGCGAGGGUGCUUGCACCUUAGCUUAGCGGCGGACGGGUGAGUAAUGCUUAGGAAUCUGCCUAUUAGUGGGGGACAACAUUCCGAAAGGAAUGCUAAUACCGCAUACGCCCUACGGGGGAAAGCAGGGGAUCUUCGGACCUUGCGCUAAUAGAUGAGCCUAAGUCGGAUUAGCUAGUUGGUGGGGUAAAGGCCUACCAAGGCGACGAUCUGUAGCGGGUCUGAGAGGAUGAUCCGCCAAACUGGGACUGAGACACGCCCCAGACUCCUACGGGAGGCAGCAGUGGGGAAUAUUGGACAAUGGGCGGAAGCCUGAUCCAGCCAUGCCGCGUGUGUGAAGAAGGCCUUUUGGUUGUAAAGCACUUUAAGCGAGGAGGAGGCUACUUAGAUUAAUACUCCGGGAUAGUGGACGUUACUCGCAGAAUAAGCACCGGCUAACUCUGUGCCAGCCGCCGCCGUAAAAC
rnacentral:rRNA from 1 species